GAGUGAUCUGUCUGCUUAAUUGCGUUUCAUAUUUACGAAUGUCGCUUACGUGAUUGCUGCAGACCUCGUCUCUCUUUAUUGAGAGUGCGACGCGUCUCUUCAACUCACUCGCACAUUCUCUUGAACGCAACGAGCGUGACCGCAACCUCUUGUUGUGUAUACCAAGUGUGUCGUUGCUUGCAACUCUCACUCCAAUGCACGUAUUUUGGUCACAUUGUCCGGCCGUCGCCACAGCC
rnacentral:rRNA from 1 species